AAGGGAAAGGCUUAGUGGCGGACGGGUGAGUAACGCGUGGGUAACCUGGCCCAUACAGGGGGAUAACACUUAGAAAUAGGUGCUAAUACCGCAUAACAACAGAAAGCGCAUGCUUUUUGUUUGAAAACCAAGGUGGUAUGGGAUGAACCCGCGUCUGAUUAGCUGGUUGGCGGGGUAAAGGCCCACCAAGGCGACGAUCAGUAGCCGGCCUGAGAGGGUGGACGGCCACAUUGGGACUGAGACACGGCCCAAACUCCUACGGGAGGCAGCAGUGGGGAAUAUUGCACAAUGGGGGAAACCCUGAUGCAGCGACGCCGCGUGAGUGAAGAAGUAAUUCGUUAUGUAAAGCUCUAUCAGCAGGGAAGAAAAUGACGGUACCUGAGUAAGAAGCCCCGGCUAACUACGUGCCAGCAGCCGCGGUAAUACGUAGGGGGCAAGCGUUAUCCGGAUUUACUGGGUGUAAAGGGAGCGUAGGCGGCGAUGCAAGUCAGAAGUGAAAGCCCGGGGCUCAACUCCGGGACUGCUUUUGAAACUGUGUUGCUAGAUUGCAGGAGAGGUAAGUGGAAUUCCUAGUGUAGCGGUGAAAUGCGUAGAUAUUAGGAGGAACACCAGUGGCGAAGGCGGCUUACUGGACUGUAACUGACGUUGAGGCUCGAAAGCGUGGGGAGCAAACAGGAUUAGAUACCCUGGUAGU
rnacentral:rRNA from 1 species